AAUAUUUAAUCAAAAUAGGCAAAAUUACCCGAGAGCCAUAAUUACGCUCAUCAUUGCCUUACUUCGAUAUUCUUACAUCGGAACAAUCCGAACUUAAAUAUCAUACUCAACAGUCGUAAAUACAACCUCUCCAAAAUACGACUUAAAUCCUACGGCCGGAUUCUACAUUAAUUAACCGCAAAAAAUACCAAACUUCGGAAAUUCACAAACCUAUCCAAAUCUCAUCCAAAAAUUCCAUAAUUCACUUCAAUAAUAUCCCCUUAAUAUUCUACAUCAAAAACCACAAAAUUUCCCAAAACAGCGGCGGCUCCGCCGGCAGCGGCGGCCGGCGACCAACUCCGGCAACCUGCAAAUGCUACCAAAUUUUAACAGAAUCUUCCUCUCAAUCUCCUCUACAACUUUCAUGACCAACACAAACUCCAAUUCUAAGCCUAACCAUGUCGAUUGAACACAAACAACCAUAAAUCCCUAAAACUUUCAAUUAUACAAACCACCCUAACGAAAUCGAAUUAAGCCGAAACCUUUUGAGGGAUUACUCACCUAGAUGAGGGCUACAAGUCGAGCCAAAAAUCACGACCUAUGGUGGCCGGAGGACGGAGCUCCGGCGAAGACACAGUCGGCGGUUCCGGCGGCUUUUUCUCCUCUCCGGCGGGUUAGAGGCUCGGGGGCUAGGCCGGGGAGGGAGAGGAGGUGACAGGGGUCCGAUCUGGGCUGGAGCGGCGGCAGCUGGUGGCCGGACGGCGGCGGGCUGCGGUGGCGAAUUUUUCCGGGUGGAGGGAGAAGAAACUCGGGUGGGAAGAGAGAAAACGGGAGGGAGAGAGAGAGAAAGGGAAAAGAAGAAGAAAUGGGUUGGGCUCGGCCCAGCCGACCCAACUCUCCUUUUAACCCAAAUUCCAAAAUUUAACACCCCGAAAAAUAAUACCCGAAUAAAAAUUACCUUUUACUAGCUAAAAUUUACUAUUUUUACCGUCGUCGUAUUUUCCUCAUACGAAUAAUCCUCCGCACAUAAUCGUCCCCGAAACCCU
rnacentral:lncRNA from 1 species